UACGGGGGGGGUAAGCGUUGUUCGGAAUUACUGGGCGUAAAGGGCCAGUAGGCGGCCAACUAAGUCGGAUGUGAAAUCCCCAGGCUCAACUUGGGAACUGCAUCCGAUACUGGAUGGCUUGAAUUCGGGAGAGGGAUGCAGAAUUCCAGGUGUAGCGGUGAAAUGCGUAGAUAUCUGGAGGAAUACCGGUGGCGAAGGCGGCAUCCUGGACCGACAUUGACGCUGAACGGCGAAAGCUAGGGGAGCAAACGGG
rnacentral:rRNA from 1 species